rnacentral:rRNA from 1 species
GACGAACGCUGGCGGCGUGCUUAACACAUGCAAGUCGAACGGAAAGGCCCUUUCGGGGGUACUCGAGUGGCGAACGGGUGAGUAACACGUGGGUGAUCUGCCCUGCACUUCGGGAUAAGCUUGGGAAACUGGGCCUAAUACCGGAUAGGACUACGGACUGCAUGGUCUGUGGUGGAAAGCUUUUGCGGUGUGGGAUGGGCCCGCGGCCUAUCAGCUUGUUGGUGGGGUGAUGGCCUACCAAGGCGACGACGGGUGGCCGGCCUGAGAGGGUGUCCGGCCACACUGGGACUGAGAUACGGCCCAGACUCCUACGGGAGGCAGCAGUGGGGAAUAUUGCACAAUGGGCGCAAGCCUGAUGCAGCGACGCCGCGUGGGGAUGACGGCCUCGGUGU